CUUCUGACGAGCUGGCUGAGUUAUACCUUCCACUACAGGAGAUAGACGCUGAUGAAGCACCAGCAAGAGCUGGCUGUAUUCUGGCUGGUCUGGGGUUCACUCCACAGAAGAAUGAGAUUUUAUCUGGCUAAGACACUAUUUGCAAGGGGAAGGCGUGGGUGUUUUUUCAGAAUCAGGCCUGCUAUCUUUUAGCUGCCAUAACUUGAAUUCCGUGGAUACAAUUUCAAUGAUUUUCUGAUUUUCUGAAAGCUUAGAAAGAGACCUUUCAAAUGGUGUCAUCAAAGUUUAUAUUUGAGAGAUAAAAGUAUUUGCCAAUUUGGCCAUACCAUGGUCCAAGGCGGAAAAAUUACAAAUUAGGGCACCAACAAAAUUUUGGAUCGAAACUCAUCAUUUGAAAGGUCUCUUUCUAAGCUUUCAGAAAAUCAUAACAUGUUUGACAUUGGAUCAACAGUAUUAAAGUUAAUGGCUGUUGAAAAAUCAGGUUUGUUUUUAGAGCUAUCUUUUAGAGGCCAUAACUUGUGUUAGGAACGUCCUAUCAAAGACGCAUUCUGUAGCUCUGAGAAAGCACUAUUGUAUACAAUU